AUGAAAGUGUUUUAGCAUAAACAGCAACAUGGUGAAUGUUUGUAAUUCAGAAUGCUUACAGCACACUAUCUUUUAUAAAAUGCUGCACUGAUUCAUGGAAUUCAGUAAGCUUUAACCAACCGUUUAACCAGGUUACAUUUCUUAUGGCAACAAUUUGGGCAGAUGUUAAUGUCUGUGUGUGUGUGUGCGUGUGUGUGCAUAUCUGUGUGAAAGUCAUUC